UACAGAGGGGGCAAGCGUUGUUCGGAAUUACUGGGCGUAAAGGGCGCGUAGGCGGCCUGUUAAGUCGGACGUGAAAUCCCUCGGCUCAACCGGGGAACUGCGUCCGAUACUGGCGGGCUUGAAUUCGGGAGAGGGAUGUGGAAUUCCAGGUGUAGCGGUGAAAUGCGUAGAUACUGGGAGGAACACCGGUGGCGAAGGCGGCUACCUGGACCGGUUCUGACGCUGAUGCGCGAAAGCGUGGGUAGCAAACAGG
rnacentral:rRNA from 1 species